GGGGAAUAUUGGACAAUGGGCGCAAGCCUGAUCCAGCCAUGCCGCGUGAGUGAUGAAGGCCCUAGGGUUGUAAAGCUCUUUCACCGGUGAAGAUAAUGACGGUAACCGGAGAAGAAGCCCCGGCUAACUCCGUGCCAGCAGCCGCGGUAAUACGGAGGGGGUUAGCGUUGUUCGGAAUGACUGGGCGUAAAGCGCGCGUAGGCGGAUCAGGAAGUUGGGGGUGAAAUCCCGGGGCUCAACCCCGGAAUGGCCUUCAAAACUCCUGGUCUUGAGUUCGAGAGAGGUGAGUGGAAUUCCGAGUGUAGAGGUGAAAUUCGUAGAUAUUCGGAGGAACACCAGUGGCGAAGGCGGCUCACUGGCUCGACACUGACGCUGAGGUGCGAAAGCGUGGGGAGCAAA
rnacentral:rRNA from 1 species